rnacentral:lncRNA from 1 species
AGCAGUGCUCGUUUCCUGUGGGUCAGCUAGCACCGGCGCCUCUGCCCCUCCCCUGCUCCGGACCCAGGCUCCCCGCCUUACCCCCCGCCCCCCCAGGGCGCCCCGAGGUCUCACCACGUCUCAGCCGCCCUUUGAUACAUGGGGGUUGUGCGGGGCGGGGGGCAGGGGACCCGCCCUCUCUCCAAACACUAGCAGGGCCGGGGCGCCUGGGCAGGCACGUGUCCGGGCACAACCCGCUGCCCACGCUGCCCCCCCACUCCCGCCCCCCCCGCUCUGGCCAGGACACGUCGCUCUCUUACUUGGGUGGGGUGGGAGGAGGGGAGAGAAAGCUGGAAAUGGAAAGCAGCGCCCCCCACCCCUCUGAAUGGCCAACCUCGGCCAGCGGUGCGCACUAGGUUUCUACCACACAGCGACCCCCACUCUGCUCAGGGCAGGUGCGCCGGCGCCGGCGGCAAGACCGCUGGAGUCUUACUAUAUCGCUCCUGCUGUUCUCCACCUCCGGGGAUCAAACUGCCCACGUCAGCUUCCGGAAUCGAAGGGAAGAUAGAUGUGUGUGUGCUACCCACCUGGCAAGCCCUAAAGUUGAGAUGUGGAAACGUGGGUGCACUGAAUGUCUGUUCUACUAAAGAGUGUUGUUCUUCUGACCUUGGGAUGAAUCGCUUCCCUUCUUGGGCCUGUUUAUUCAAGUUAAUGUGAAAUAAUCCCCUUUAACAUUAGUUAUCUUUCCUACUUUUGUUGUAGGGUUGUUUGUUGCUUGGUUCUGAGAUAGGUUUCACCACCACACUCCAGCCUGCCUACUUUUGAAGUUUACUUUUCCUCCUGAGCACACAGACACUCACUCAGGUGUGGAGGUCAGAGGACAGCUUGCACGAGUUGGUUCUCUCUUCCCAUCAUGUGUGUCCUGUCCUGGGGAUUGGAAUGAGGAGGCUUGACAGCAAGUGCCUUCAUCUACUGAGCCAUCUUGCCAACCCUAAAGUAUACUUUAAAAAAUAUACUCAGGAGGCAGAGACAGGCAACUCUUUGAGUUUGAGGCCAGCCUCAUUUACACAGUGAGUGGGACAGAGCUACAGCUUGAGACUUUUAUUUAUUUAUUUAUUUAAAAUGAUUUUCGGGCUGGAGAGAUGGCUUACCAGUUAAGAGCACUGGCUGCUCUUCCAGAGGUCCUGAGUUCAAAUCCCAGCAAUCACAUGAUGGCUCACAACCAUCUGUAAUGGGGUCUGAUGCCUUCCUCUGCUGUGUCUGAAGAAAGCAUACUCGCAUACAUAAAUAAAAUUAUGUAUAUAUAUAUAUA